rnacentral:tRNA from 1 species
ACACUGGUGCUUCAGUGGUAGAAUUCUCACCUUCCAUAUGAGAGAACUGGGUUCAAUUCCCAGCCAGUGCA